rnacentral:tRNA from 1 species
GCAGUGGUGGUUCAGUGGGAGAAUUCUUGCCUUUCACGUGCGAGAACUAGGUUUGAUUCCUGGCCAAUCCA